rnacentral:rRNA from 1 species
UACAGAGGGUGCGAGCGUUAAUCGGAAUUACUGGGCGUAAAGCGUGCGUAGACGGUUUCGUAAGUCGGGUGUGAAAGCCCCGGGCUCAACCUGGGAAUUGCAUUCGAGACUGCGGAGCUAGGGUGCGGAAGAGGGAAGCGGAAUUUCCGGUGUAGCGGUGAAAUGCGUAGAUAUCGGAAGGAACAUCAGUGGCGAAAGCGGCUUCCUGGUCCAGCACCGACGUUCAGGCACGAAAGCGUGGGGAGCAAACAGG